UACGUAGGUGGCGAGCGUUGUCCGGAUUUACUGGGCGUAAAGGGAGCGUAGGCGGACUUUUAAGUGAGAUGUGAAAUACCCGGGCUCAACUUGGGUGCUGCAUUUCAAACUGGAAGUCUAGAGUGCAGGAGAGGAGAGUGGAAUUCCUAGUGUAGCGGUGAAAUGCAUAGAUAUUAGGAGGAACACCAGUUGCGAAGGCGGCUCUCUGGACUGUAACUGACACUGAGGCACGAAAGCGUGGGGAGCAAACAGGAUUAGAUACCCG
rnacentral:rRNA from 1 species